GCCAUCGAUCGUGUCCUCUGCUAGGUCGCACUCCCCGCAGCCUUCGCAUGGCGGCGGCUCUUUCCUUCGGGGAGUGACGGCGACCGAUUUCGGAGCGACGGAUUCCCAUGGUGAGUGGCCGACCUCGCUGGUUUGGAAAGCGCCUCGUAGGGCAACGACACGAGUUCCGUUUGGUUGCAAGGCGCGACGGGAUGGUGUGUGGCGGCGAAUAGUGUUCCGUCUUUGGCGUUUUCCUCCUCCUCGGUUGCUGAGAUGGCCGGUCGCGGGAAGGCAGUCGAUGCCGGCGCGUCCAAAGGCGACGUCGAGGAGCUCCGAGGCCGGGCUAUAGUUUUUCCUCGGCAGGAUCGCCAGAUUCCUCAAGGUCGUCAAAUACACAAGUUCUUCGGCACAUGAGUACCUCGCCGCUGAGGUCCUGGAACUGGCCGGCAACACUGCCAGGCACAACAACAAGACAUGUAUCAUGUCAGGCCCCGCCACAUCCUGCUCACCAUGCGCAAUGAUGCUGAGCUGACCAAGCUGCUCGGCGGUGCCACCUGUAGGUGCGCCUCUCGCCGUGUGGAUACAUUUCAGAGCCGCAACAUCCUUCCAAGGAACACAAGACGGACAUGAACUUGGAGCAAGUCCGUCCGUGUCAGCUCCUUUUCAUUUAUUUAUUUUGAGAAUUCCUUCUCAUUUAUUCAUGAGCUUACUUGUGCUACUAUUCUUGUCCGCCGUUCCUUUUCUGCUUGCAUGUUUGGAGCCAUGAGGAUUGCCACUCGCAUAAGCGGCGGCAUACCCCAGAUGGCAACUUGCGUGAAUGAGCUGAUGAGAGGUGAUGGUGAAAGGCUAAUGAUGGCUUCUUUGACCAACACUCGUGCCAUCCCUGGUCUUCUACUCCUCACCAAUACACCAUCGCGUGCCUUAGACUACACCGACACCCUAGGGUUUCCUUUAGUUGUGUUUUCCGUAGAAGUACCAAAGCGUUUUUAGAGUUUGACAAUAACCUGGCCAUUUUGUUAAUGGAUGAAUAUUCAGAUCAGAUAUAGAAAUCUAACACAUAUGUAUAUAUAUUAGUUGUACCUAUCGUUAUGCUAAAAAUGCAGUUUUGUUCAUUUUGCUUUUUUCUCACAUGCGGUGGUGGACACGAAUGCAAAAAAUAUAUUUGUUUACAUGACUCA